UAUGCGUGCCUCUUAAAUUCUGUUGUCUUAUUUUCUCUACAGAGGUAUCAUUUGGCCUGUAAGAAUCAGGAUAUGCAGAGCAGCAAGAAAAACAUUUAAUUGAACUAUUUUUAUCCCUCAUGUCUUUUUGGACUCAUCUUCAGUUUACCCUCUGCUGCAUCUUACAAGGUGGCGCCAAUCUGGGGAGAAGAGGGAACUACCUAGUGUCCCUACGUAGCCGUGAUUGGUGGGAAAGCUGGCAGCCGGCCCAGGUUCCCUCAGAUAUAUGCCCAGGAGUGGGAUUGCUGGAUCAUAUUUAUGGUAGCAGGCAUGAUCUCUGAUGCUGAACUGGGACACCUAGACCACAGCAUUCCUGGUGGCAGCCCCAUGACUCAGGGGGCCAGCAGUGUCCUCGUCCUGCCUCCCCAAGAAAGCCAGACUCACCAAUGUA